AAUAGGUAGCAUAUUAGGUGGUGUUUUUUUUUUAUGAUUAAAAUUUCAAAAUGGAUUAAUGAAGUUGCAUAUUGGCUUAGUUUAAUAUUUUCAAAUUUGUGGUGUUUGAGAUGGCUUAGUUUUAAAUAUCAUUAUAUAUGUCAAAUCUUAUGCUUAUAACCUUAUUUUUUAACUUGAAAAAUUUUGGCUAACCUCUCGUAUGCAUGUGUCCUUGUCAAAUGAAUUUUUAUGAACGUAUGUUGCUUUGCUGGCUGCUUAAGCUCUCUUUUGCAUGAGACAUGUAGGACAGGUUCUGUCCCUCGAAAUUGCUAAAAGAUCCAUAACCUAAUAUGAACAUCUUGAACCAUAAAAACGUCAUAACCAUCCAAUCUACUUCUCACAUAUAUUUCAUAAGCUCAACACUAGUUUAUUGAAAAGCAUAAGUUGGUUUUCCUUCAAGAUUACUAAGCAUCUUCCAAAAGGAUCCAAAUAUCUACUAAAUUUUAUGAAAUCCAGAGACCUUGCAAACUACAUGGAGACUCUGCCCUUUUAAGAUCAUGCAUCAUAUGAAAAAGCAAAACCUAUCAAUUAGAAUCUAGU
rnacentral:lncRNA from 1 species